CGCAAGCCUGAUCCAGCCAUGCCGCGUGAGUGAUGAAGGCCCUAGGGUUGUAAAGCUCUUUCAACGGUGAAGAUAAUGACGGUAACCGUAGAAGAAGCCCCGGCUAACUUCGUGCCAGCAGCCGCGGUAAUACGAAGGGGGCUAGCGUUGUUCGGAAUUACUGGGCGUAAAGCGCACGUAGGCGGAUAUUUAAGUCAGGGGUGAAAUCCCGGGGCUCAACCCCGGAACUGCCUUUGAUACUGGGUAUCUCGAGUCCGAGAGAGGUGAGUGGAAUUCCGAGUGUAGAGGUGAAAUUCGUAGAUAUUCGGAGGAACACCAGUGGCGAAGGCGGCUCACUGGCUCGGUACUGACGCUGAGGUGCGAAAGCGUGGGGAGCAAACAGGAUUGGAUACCCUGGUAGUCCACGCUGUAAACGAUGGAAGCUAGCCGUCGGCAAGUUUACUUGUCGGUGGCGCAGCUAACGCAUUAAGCUUCCCGCCUGGGGAGUACGGUCGCAAGAUUA
rnacentral:rRNA from 1 species